UAACAACGUACCUAAAAUAAUAUUACAACGUACUUUGCCAAACGUGCACGAGAAACAAAACUUGCUUCAAAACCAGAAUCAAAAUGCAUAUCUUAAUAGUAAUAAUACUAUGCAAGACAACAUUUCAAAAAGUAUUUAUGAUGAGGAUCCAUCUUAUGUACCAAACAAUUCAUCCGAUGAAAGUUUUAUUCAACCUGUGAUAGAUCAGGCAACAAAUUCUGUUGCUAAACAAAAUAGCUCAGCAAUUUCUAGUCGAUUACAUAUAUCACGUCAUAUAACGUCAC